rnacentral:rRNA from 1 species
GACGGAGGAUGCAAGUGUUAUCCGGAAUCACUGGGCGUAAAGCGUCUGUAGGUGGUUUAAUAAGUCAACUGUUAAAUCUUGAGGCUCAACUUCAAAAUCGCAGUCGAAACUAUUAGACUAGAGUAUAGUAGAGGUAAAGGGAAUUUCCAGUGGAGCGGUGAAAUGCGUAGAGAUCUGAAGGAAUACCGGUGGCGAAGGCACUUUACUGGGCUAUUACUGACACUCAGAGACGAAAGCUAGGGUAGCAAAUGGG